UACCCGCAGCACAAGUGGUGGUCAUUAUUAUUGGGCCUAAAGCGUCCGUAGCUGGCUUGUUAGAUGCCUGGGUAAAUCGAUGCGCUCAACGUAUCGAAUUCCGGGUAGACCGGCAAGCUCGAGACCGGGAGAGGUGUAGGCUACUCGAGGGGUAGGGGGUAAAAAUCCUGUAAUCCUUCGGGGAGGACCAGUGGCGAAGGCGCUACACUAGAACGGCUCUGACAGUGAGGGACGAAGCCCUGGGGCGCAAACCGG
rnacentral:rRNA from 1 species